CUGUCAAUUUGCUCUCCUCUUCCCCGCUGCCAAUCCUGGGGGCGUCCUCUGCUGCCCAAGAAGCCGGAUGCCCGUCUCCAGGUGACAUUUUAGGUUAUUGGGUCACAGAUUGCUGGCACACUCAUCCCUGUUCUCAAAUAUCUUUUAAACUUGGGUGAAGUGAUAAGUAGGGGAAGAUGAUUUACUGAAAGCAAUGCAGAGUCUCCCGAGAACAGAUUCAGACUGAACAGAUUUGUGUCAGAAUUUGGGAGACCGCUGGUGCCCAAGAUGUUCUCUGGCAGGUCAAUGACGAAUCUAGGUCCCUCUUUCACUGCUACGUCAAUGAAGUGGGCCACUUCAACAAGGCCAAACCUGGUAUCCCAACCAUAGCCCUUGACAGUGAUGUUCGGCUCCAGGAAGCCAUCAGAUGCAGCAGGUGGCCAGAGGAGGAGCCGAACGUGCUCAUGAAA